AUAAAAUAAGCAAUAACGUUAAGAAUGAAUUUUGAAGUACAAUAUUAAUGAGACAGAGGCAGAAGAAGGAUCAAAUAUUUGAUAUACAAUGUCCGAAAUGUAUUGCCUCUAUUUUUAUUUAUUUAUUUUUUUACCCUGGCCCACAACCUCAGAGGUGGUGGUACAGUAGUAGAGGCUGAACCUUCCUACCACUAUUCCAUUAUAUUUUGUUGUCAUGUGACAGGUGAUGACAGAGGAACGAUCUGACAGAACAGUAUCUGGCAAGGAAGUGCAUAUGAAAGAAGCAAAGAUGUGUAAUUGAAUUCUUCCAUGCGGAAAGAAAUGGAACACACUGACAUUCACUGCUUGCUGAAUAUUUACUGAAACCAAACAGUGGAUGUGAGCACAUUGAGGUAGCGCAUGGUGCGUUUUAGCAGUCAUGACAUGAACAGUGAGUCAAAUCCAGUGGUGUAGAUUUUUAUGAGCAUUGCAUGCAAACUCUUGUUCAUUGCUGGCUAAAAUGUAUAGUAAUGGUGGUGUUUCUGUUGAAAAAUAGUUUUUUGCAAAUGAGAACAUACUAUAUCAAAUAGUGUUAUUUUGCUCUUUGUAUCUUUUGUAGUUUCCUUGGAACUAAAGAGAAGGUAUUACUUUUGGAGCAACCCACAUAGGUUAUCUUCAGUCAGAUGAUUUCUGUGUUUUUUCACUGAUGUGUGCCAGCUGAAGUACUAGUUGCAGGAAACAGCUUUUGGAGCUUCUUUGCUAUCAAAAGAAGGAUUCAAAGAACCAGCCACCCCAAUCUGAUCUCCUGUACCAGUCAAUCAGAGCUGAUCCUGAGCAGCUGGAAGAGAAAGAUUCAGGUGUUGGCACUUACAGUUCCUGUGUGCUGAUGGACUACUUCUGCCCAGCUGCAGGCAGUGUUUUUGUGAGUUCUUCAGGUGGCCCUUAUAUUUUUGUUUCUGUGUCAGCUAAUAGAACAAAUUCUUCUGCAGAAGCUUGGAUAGGUAAGUGAUAGAAUAUUUUCAUUUCUUACAGUCUAAAGCUGCGUAAGAAUUGAUAAUGUUCAUUUAAAUUGCAGGGUUAGUAAUGGCUGCAAGUUGUACCAGAGGAGGUUUUUAUUAUGCAUAAGGAAAAACUUUUUCUCUCAGAGAAUAGUCAGGUA
rnacentral:lncRNA from 1 species